UAAAAAACCUACGUAAUAAAUUACAUGUUUACAUUAACAGGCUUAUAUAAAGAAAUGGUUUAUCAAUAAAUUUUACAGUACGAUAUUGUUAGUUCUUCCAUAAUACAUAAUAUUCAAAGAAUUGAAAAAAAAAUAAUUUACACUUAACAAGAUGUUCAAAUUAUCUUUGAUCGCAAUUUUCGCAAUGCUUGUUAUUGCCAUGAGCAUCGUUGCUAUUCAAGCAGCUCCAGGAGGUGGCAGUGAUGAUGGGUGUGAUGAUAAUAACAAAGGUGGUGGUGGUGGUAGUCUUAUCAAUGUAGUAGCUGAUAUUUUAUCGUAACGUGAGGCAUAAUCAUCACGUAACCUAAGCAAUAUGACUGUGAAAAACAUAGUAGCUCAUAAAAGUAAAAAAUUGAGUUGAAAAUAUAAUAAACAUAGUAAAAAAUUA